rnacentral:rRNA from 1 species
GACGAACGCUGGCGGCGUGCUUAACACAUGCAAGUCGAACGGAAAGGCCCUGCUUGCGGGGUGCUCGAGUGGCGAACGGGUGAGUAACACGUGGGUGAUCUGCCCCUUACUUUGGGAUAAGCCUGGGAAACUGGGUCUAAUACUGGAUAGGACCAUGCUGUAGGUGGAGUGGUGGAAAGAUUAGUUUCGGUAAGGGAUGAGCUCGCGGCCUAUCAGCUUGUUGGUGGGGUAAUGGCCUACCAAGGCGUCGACGGGUAGCCGGCCUGAGAGGGUGGACGGCACCAUUGGGACUGCGAUACGGCCCAGACUCCUACGGGAGGCAGCAGUGGGGGAUAUCGUACAAUGGGCGCAAGCCUGAUGCAGCGACGCCGCGUGGAGGAUGACGCUCUUCGGGUUGUAAACUCCUUUCAGCCAUGACGAAGCCCUUGUGGUGACGGUAGUGGUAGAAGAAGCACCGGCUAACUACGUG